rnacentral:rRNA from 1 species
GAUGAACGCUGGCGGCGUGCCUAAUACAUGCAAGUAGAACGCACAGUUUAUACCGUAGCUUGCUACACCAUAGACUGUGAGUUGCGAACGGGUGAGUAACGCGUAGGUAACCUGCCUGGUAGCGGGGGAUAACUAUUGGAAACGAUAGCUAAUACCGCAUAAUAUUAAUUAUUGCAUGAUAAUUAAUUGAAAGGUGCAAUUGCACCACUACCAGAUGGACCUGCGUUGUAUUAGCUAGUAGGUGAGGUAACGGCUCACCUAGGCGACGAUACAUAGCCGACCUGGGAGGGUGAUCGGCCACACUGGGACUGAGACACGGCCCAGACUCCUACGGGAGGCAGCAGUAGGGAAUCUUCGGCAAUGGACGAAAGUCUGACCGAGCAACGCCGCGUGAGUGAAGAAGGUUUUCGGAUCGUAAAGCUCUGUUGUAAGAGAAGAACGGGUGUGAGAGUGGAAAGUUCACACUGUGACGGUAUCUUACCAGAAAGGGACGGCUAACUACGUG